rnacentral:rRNA from 1 species
GCUCUGAAUCGAGCGGACGGAAGGGAGCUUGCUCCCGGAUGUUAGCGGCGGACGGGUGAGUAACACGUGGGUAACCUGCCUGUAAGACUGGGAUAACUCCGGGAAACCGGAGCUAAUACCGGAUAGUUCCUUGAACCGCAUGGGUCAAGGAUGAGAGACAGUGUCGGCUGUGACUUUCAUAUGGACCCGCGGCGCAUUAUCUAUUUGGGGAGGUGACGGCUCUCCCCGGCGACAAUGCGUAUCCGACCUGAGAGGGGGAGCGGCCCCACUGGGACUGAGACACGGCCCCCACUCCUACGGGAGGCGCCACUAGGGAAUCUUCCCCAAUGGACGAAAGUCUGACAGAGCAACGCCCCGUGAGUGAUGAAAGUUUUCUGAUCUUAAAGCUCUGUUGUUAGGAAAACACAUGCGAGAGUAACUGCUCGCACCUUGAGGUACCUAACCAGAAACCACGGCUAACUACGUGCCCCACCCGCGGUAAUACAUAUGUGGCAAGCGCUAUCCAAAAUUAUUGAGCUUAGGGGCGCGCGGU